UUGUAUUAUGUUAUCUUUUUUUUAUAUAUACUAUCAUUGUAUGCGUAUAUAGGUAUACUUGUUGUGAUUAUUUAUAGGGUGUGUGUGUCAUGGUAUGUACAUAUGGUGGUGUAUCGGUGAUAUAAAUCAUACGUUAAAGAGCAGUGAUUCCAAACCUUGGUGGAACCCCUCCCAUGAAUUUUCAUUUUCCAAGGCACCCUUGUUAAUAGUGUUCUCAUGCAAGAUAUGAUCGUCUGUUUUUUUUAAAGUUAUUAAGCAAUGUAUACUGAGUUUGGAAUUCAAGAUUGCAUCAAAUGAGCUAAUAUGAUAGACUUGGUGAAAAGUCAUACUGUAAUAGCACAGGAUUAUUUUACGAUUUUUUGGAGAACCCUUGGUGAUGGUCGCCGGAAGCCCCCAGGGUUCUAAGAGCUCCUAGUUGGUGAUCUAAGUUAUAGAGUGUUGAUUGUCUGUGUUUUUAUUAUUAAACUGUUUUUUUUGUGGCUGCACUGUGUGGCUGCUUGGUGCUGUGACGGCCAGGAUAACAGUACCUGGGUUUGCACCAAACGAGAGGGAAGGCUCGCUAUGAGGCUCUGCUCAUAGGGGUCGUGCAAGCAACGUCGUGGUUAACUGCAUGGUGUGGUGUAGUCAACUGACAUGUGUCAAACGCAUAAGCCGGAGUAGGUAUGCAAAGCUUAAGUGAGAACAUGUGUAUGAUUUCUUUGGAAAUCUAAAACACAGUUUAUGACGAUGGAUGAGGGCGAUGUAAUAUCAGGAGGUGAUGAUUUGUCUGGUGAUCUCAGCACAGACAAGAUUGCAUCAAAUAGUCAAGACCAUCCAGCAAUCCAGUCACUGUCGUCAGGUCAGGAAAGCAAUGAAUUAUCAGACAAUCAAAACACUAAAUCUGCGCCUGAGUCUGGAUGGACUUUGGGAUAUGGUAGUUACCAGAUUCUUUGGACAGAAGGUGACUUGUACCCCAAGACAAUCGACGUGCUGCAGAAUGACAAGGAUGGCUCCGAUGAUGAAGAUAUUAAUGACUGCACAGAUGACUUGGCAAUGGAAAGUGACACUGAUGCAGAUGAUACUACUGACGAUGAAACUGAAAACAGCGAGUGACUGUAAAGACCAAUGAUUACACGUUAACAUAUUGAGAAACAAUAUACUCUUGAAAAAAUAUAUGUAAAAUGUCUUCCAUACUCUAUGCUAUACUAUAUGCAUCAGGUAUUUCCAACGAAUGCUAGUUUUUAUGUCUGCCUUAGUUAUGCUCCUUCUACCUAUAGUAGAAAUCUGAAACCUCUAGGAACAGGUUUUUUUUGUUGUUAUCCUUAGGAACAAAGAUAUGCAAAUUUGGGGGGUCAGCUCACCCUAACUCACCCCCCUUAAAUCCUUAAAUCAAGCCAGUUUAAAUGUCAGCAUCAGUUUAACUAUUUAUUCUACCUAUGGUAGAAAUCUGAAAGUUGUAGGAACAGGUUUUUUUGUUGUUAUCCUUAGGAACAAAGAGAUGUAAGUUUUGGGGGGUCAGCUGACAUUAACUUACCACCCUUUAAUCAUGUCAGUUUAUAUGUCAAUAUUAGUUAAACUAUUUUCUCUACCUAUGGUAAAAAUCUGAAUGUUGUACGAACAGUUUUUGUUGUUGUUGUUGUUAUCCUUAGGAACAAAGAGAUGUAAAUUUUGGGGGUCAGCUGACACUAACUUACCACCCUAUAAUCAUGUCAGUUAAUAUGUCAAUAUUAGUUAAGCUACUUAUUCUACCUAUGGUAGAAAUCUGAAUGUUGUACGAACAAUUUAUUUUAUUUUACCCCUAGGAACUAAAUGGGACACAUUUUGGGGGUCAGCUGACUCCAUCUUACCACCAGAAAAAUAAGUCAGUUUUUACUCCAACAUUACUUUUGUUACUUAAAGUAACUAUAUAAUAAAUAUAAAAACUGUAA